ensembl:lncRNA
CUUCUCUUGGCCAGGAGGGCAGAGGAGGAGAGGAGACGACUGGAAGCGGAGCGAGCCAGUCGUGAGGUGAUUAACGUGUCCCAGCUGGUGAUCCCUGCUGAACUGGGAGGGCUGCUGCAGGCCACUGCAGCUGGUAAGGAGUUGCAUUCAGAGUGCCUGGCUUUGGUUCAGGCUCCGAGAGUACAGGUCGAUCCUCAGCUCACUCUCCCUCUGGAUAUCAACAACCACCUAAUGAC